GCGUGGUGGACGGCUCGGUU
rnacentral:rRNA from 1 species